rnacentral:rRNA from 1 species
CCUACGGGUGGCAGCAGUGGGGAAUAUUGGACAAUGGGGGCAACCCUGAUCCAGCCAUGCCGCGUGUGUGUAGAAGGCCCUCGGGUUGUAAAGCACUUUCAGUGAGGAAGAACGCCUGGUGGUUAAUACCCAUCAGGAAAGACAUCACUCACAGAAGAAGCACCGGCUAACUCCGUGCCAGCAGCCGCGGUAAUACGGAGGGUGCGAGCGUUAAUCGGAAUUACUGGGCGUAAAGCGCGCGUAGGUGGCUUGAUAAGCCGGUUGUGAAAGCCCCGGGCUCAACCUGGGAACGGCAUCCGGAACUGUCAAGCUAGAGUGCAGGAGAGGAAGGUAGAAUUCCCGGUGUAGCGGUGAAAUGCGUAGAGAUCGGGAGGAAUACCAGUGGCGAAGGCGGCCUUCUGGACUGACACUGACACUGAGGUGCGAAAGCGUGGGUAGCAAACAGGAUUAGAUACCCUAGUAGUC